GGACUUGGAGGUGGGCUGGUUUGGGAACACAGGACAAAGGUCUCAGGGUCUGAAGCCCCAAGGGGCAGUCGUGUGGGAGGAGCCUCAAGUUAACACCACCUACUUAGUCUCCUUCCCACCCCUUCCCUUUCCUGUCCUGAAGUCCUCUCUUCCUCCUUACCUGGUCCCUGGCCCUGCCACUGCUAACAGGAGUGGUUUCUACUUUGUUAAUCAGACACCAUCACUCCGAGCACCAAGUCCGCUAAGGGCAGGGUCUCUAAGAGUCAUCUGCAAAUGCUUCCCAUUAUGAGCUCAGUCAGGAUUUGCUGAGUAGACAGGAACUCGUGGACAGACAUUAUGCAUAUAGUAGAAGAUUACAAGGACAGGAGCCCUCUUGUGAAGGUUGAAUGUUCAACCAAAGCAAAGAGCUCCAGUAGCAGAUGGCCAAAGACUAUAGAAAAGGAAAGUACUCACCAGUGGUGUGUUAAAGAGAAAUUUCCUGAAAAGGGCAUCAUUGAGGCUAUGUGGUGAAAAAUGUCAGAACCACAGGAUGGAAUGAGCCUGGAUCCUGGAAUCACUCCUGAAAGAAAGCUUCCUGUGAGAAAUCCCAACCAUGAACACCUGCUUUGAACUUUAUGUGAUUGAUAAAUAAACAUUAAUUGUAUUAAGCCA